rnacentral:rRNA from 1 species
GACGAACGCUGGCGGCGUGCCUAAUACAUGCAAGUCGAACGCUGAAGGAGGAGCUUUCUUCUCUGGAUGAGUUGCGAACGGGUGAGUAACGCGUAUGUAACCUGCCUUGUAGCGGGGGAUAACUAUUGGAAACGAUAGCUAAUACCGCAUAAGAGUAGAUGUUGCAUGACAUUUGCUUAAAAUGUGCAAUUUCAUCACUACCAGAUGGACCUGCGUUGUAUUUGCUAGUUGGUGGUGUAACGGCUCACCAAGGCGACGAUACAUAGCCGAACUGUGAGGGUGAACGGACAAAAUGGGAAUGAGAAAAGGGCCAGAAAGAUACGGGAGGGAGAAGUAGGGAAACUUCGGAAAUGGACGGAAGUCUGAACGAGCAAAGACGCGUGAGGGAAGAAGGUUGUAGGAUCGUAAAGAUAUGUUGUAAGAGAAGAAAGAGAGUGAGAGUGGAAAGUUCACAAUGUGACGGUAACUAAACAGAAAGGGACGGCUAACUACGUG